GGAUAUGAGGGCAAUCUGCCUGUGACAUCUGUCACCCCACGGACUGCAGGGCCCAUUCAGCUCGUCUGACCUGCUAGGUGGGUGUCCUCUUCCUGCCUCACCGCUUCAUGUGCAUCCCUCCUCAAACUGUGUGCUCAGCCGAAGAGAAUGACUUCUCCAAUAAAGGAGGAGCUUUCUGCAGAAAAGGGUAUAUGAGUGACUGCACUCCCCUUCUAGAACCUCCAGACAGGCUCUCAAGGAAGAGGGCAAAGACAACUUGGGUGUUGUUUUGUUUUGUUUUGGGGGGUGGGAAACGGGGCACUGAAGGAGCCUUCCCAGGUGGCACACCUCGAUCAGUCAGAGUGG
rnacentral:snRNA from 1 species